rnacentral:rRNA from 1 species
CGUUGAAACACUGAUUUUUGUACGAUCACCGAAGUUAAGCAAAGUCGAGACUGGUCAGUUACCUAGAUGGGUGACCGCUUGGGAAUACCAGGUGCUGUAAG